ensembl:lncRNA
GAGCGAGGCCCGAGCUCUGAGCUGCGGCACGGCGCUACCUGCAGCCCGAGGCUCGGCGUGUCUCGUAGCGACACAAGCGCUGCCCACAGAGCGCGUUUGGGAACGCGGGAUUGUUCUCUUCAGUAACACACAGUGAUGAAGCGGAUAGAAAUGAAGGAGAGCGCUUCUGGUUCUGAGAGGGAGGCAGAAGGUAAAAAACGAGCCGACACCAACGGCUGACGCGGGAAACUGCAUUACGUCUCGUCUCACCACAGCGUUUUGUUCACACACACAAAAGACCCUCCCCCUCGUUUUUUCUCAGUGGUCACAAAGCCGGGGAAAACAAAAAAAAAACAGAGCAGAACAAAACAAAACCAGCACGAACAAUCGAACAGAAAUCAGGGAAAGGAGGGGCGUUUCUUGUAUUUUGGGGGCUCAGCCUGCAACCAAAACUCUCCUCCCAAAAUGCCUCUAAAAAUCUUCCCGUUGCGGUGAAGAAAGGACAGAGGAGGCAGGCAGAACCAACUCUUCAGCAGAGAACCACGCACGGAUGAGAGGUCAGUGGGAAUUUGCAGAGAUUAGCAUCUAAAGCCAUCUGCUCCCUGAAAGAAAAACCUGACCCUGCACCAUACAUUGUGUGGGAAAUCCAUGCAACGGCACCAGAGUCCCUGGAGGCCUUAUUAGGCAAACCACAGGAUAUCCAUGAAAGAGAGUCGAAAUUCAAAUUGUUAGCAGCUCACUCUCAGUAGCAGCCAUGUUCAUGUCCACCGCAGGGCCUUUUGGGGUAAUUCUGGGAAGUAAUAUAUGAGUUAAUUCUCUGCUAAGCUCUGUUGGCACAGAUAAAAUUUCCAUGGAACCCAGUCAGGCUCCAUAUCACGUGCUGGCUACCUGGUAACAUACUUAAACAUACACAUCCCUACCUGACUGUGAUGAUGUUAAUGUACCGCAGCAAACAUAUGUUCUUUAGAUACUGUUUUGGUAUCUGCAUAAUUUGUACACUGUAAAAGAGAAUUUUCUUUAGCUUAACUUUUACGCCGAGUAAAGCUGAGCUAAUAAAAGUCAGAGUGAAUUGUACUGCUAGAGGCCAGCUAUAGGCCAGCUUCUAAGCUAUUUGAAACCUCUCAGCAUUCAUUUUGCAGCUGUGAAAAAUACUACAGAUAUAUAUAAAGCCAUAAUGCCAGAUUGGCCGCUGUUACUGCCUGGGGUUAGAAAAUUCCCAGACUGACUUCAGCGCAGCUUCCUUCCCCCUGCCAGGCUGGGAGAACACAGGAGCCUUUGAGAAGUCUGCCCUUCGGGACUCCUUUCCUCCACCUCCUCUCUCCUCUGAGCUUUCCCAUUAUAAACGACUGGACACCUGCUUGUUCUCCUCCUUGGAGACAUUUCAGACAGUGCUGUGGGGUACGUUAGGGGCAUCCACCACUUCUCUGGACAGCCUGUUCCUUUGCCUCAGAGCAGGCAUCUGGUGAACUUGCUCAUGCCUGUUUGACUUCUCAGAGGCUCUGAAUUUCCAAAGUGGCCAUAAAGCAGAUGCUUGAGGACAGGACAAGGACGGAUCCCCAGCACAUUCUCACAGUCUGCAGGAGCUCCAGCACUUCUUUGGCCAGAGAAAGAAAACCCAGAGUAUUCCUGAAGACAACUUGGCUUUUAGACAUCCACUGCUGGUGGGCAGAAGCCCUUCUAUCCUCAUCAGAUAAGUCCUUUUCAAUGCUUUUAAAUCUACUUCUAGGAUGCCUGUUAAUUAUUGGUCUUUUUAUUGGCAACUCUUUGAUGUAAAAUCAAAUAAAGCCAAAUCAGCUUACUUAUUGUUAUAACAAAUGAGUCUUAGUUAACGUUGUCAUUAACCUUUUUAUUCCAGCAUUAGCAUUCAGAUGUCAGACUCCCACUGAACUGGCUGUUGGAGGCCAAUUAUUGUGAGUUUACAUAGAGAUCAGUCUGCAGAAGUAGCCUGAAUACUGAGGUACUGACAAAGCAGCGUGCUUUCAGGAGCACCGGGCAAAGAUAAACAAGUUUGAGGGGAAGGAAAAAUCAAAGUGGAUUUUUCUCUGCUAAAAACAUCUGCUGAAGAAAGUGUGGUAGGCAAAGAGGGAGAAGAAAAGUGCAAUAAAGUGAGAUUUGAUGAAUUUCUCUUUUGUAACUUACUGAUAAAGUGGAUACGACGUAUGAAUCAAUUUUCACAGAAAAAUUAAAAGCACUGAACUAAAAUGAACCCAGCACUGACCAUCUAGAAAGCCAAUUGAAUGAUGGAACCUUUGCCUUUCCAUGUCUUCAAAAGGAUUUGUGUCGAAUAUUUAUUAAAGCACAGGCUCAGCAUCCUGCCCUCAUUCAGUGCAAAGGAGCUGCCCCCCACACCCUACGCAUGCAGAGAGAAAUAUGUUGCUGAGUAGUUCUGCACACAAAAACAACUUUGGCCACAGCCUUUAUCGUCUUUACCUAGUGCUGAUGGAGAGAUGUGUUGGACACACUUUUCCACGUAAUCCACAGAUUUUGCUUGCAGUCCAACCACAAAAGCAUCAAUUGUUUGCCUGAAGAAAAAGGCUAAUGAGUCCAUUUGGGCCAACUGUGUGUUUGUGUGUUUAAGAGUGUAAAGGUGAAACAUGAUUUACCACUCUAACGGCAGUAUUUCACACCUAUAGGAGUUUGCAGCUGACCAUGUCAUUCACAUAGCUAAAGAUGGCGAUGUCUGUUUUUUGAACACUCAUUUUAUUUUUACUUUAUUUCCAGAAAAACUCACGCAUUUUGGUUAACGCCAUCCAGAUUAUUGUUCUGGGAUGCAGAAUGCAGCAGGCCUUGGGAUACCCACCUGCAGCUGCCACCUCCACAACACUUCAUCUGUGUACUGUGCUUGUGAACAUGGAGGGCCAGAAGAAUGAUAACAUGUGCUGCUGUCCUGUUCUCCCCCUGAAACUCCUCUGAUUUUCCUGUGUGUGUUCAACAUGAUAUAUACUUCUCUCUUUUUCAAGAUGAUGACCUAUUUUUCUACCAUCACUGCAGAAUACAUUAUCAUAAACCAUAUUUUUCACGUUUAUUGCGCUGGACUGUAGAAUCAUUAUUUAUAAGAAUUAUAAGGUUGUCUACGUGUUUUAUUUUCAGCAUUAAACUUGGCUGAAGUUAGAGUGAACUAUUUUCCAUUCUUAACUUAUUUUGUAGGUCAGAAGAGCAGCGUGUGGGUGUCAAAAUACGAGCAGUCUCACAGUCGUCAGAAUUAUAGCAGUUCCCAAACUAUUUCCAACAAUAGGCUUUGAAAUAAGAGAGAAUACCACUUCUCAUAUACUGACUUCCCAUCCAAAACAAAUGUAAGAUUAAAAUAGUAUCUGCUUGCAGGAGGAAAUCACUUGAGGCCAGGACUUUAAGUUGGAAAAGACCUGAAAAAUACUGCAAAAGAACCCUGUGCUUUAGAAAAAGCAUUUUGAGAAUACGCUUUGAAAAAAGCGUGGCAUUUAAACUGUGCAUCUUCAUAUUCCUGAAGCAUCCUAACAACCUUACACAAAGCCAAGCUCUCUUUCUCUCCUUCAGAUCUAUUUGCCUGUCUUUUGGAUUCAUGUUCUUCUCUUGCAGGUAAAAAUGCUCUCCCAUGGACUGACCUCUAGGCUAGAGAAAACUUGUUUGGAAUUUGUCUUUGUUUCCUGACAACUCAUACCCACAAAAAGCCUAACGGAUGAAUCCUGCCCUCUUUUUGGGAGGUAGCUGGGAAGGAAAUAUCCUACUCAUUUUGAGUAGAUUUUUAAAAAGGUAAUCUCUACAAGUACAGAUCUUACAGUGCUAAAGGAAUAAGAGCUCUCCAUCAGGGAUGUGAAAGAGGACAGCGAUCCAAGUAGCCUUGCUCUUUGCAAAACUGAUCUGACACUUUCAGUUAAGACAAGCCUCUGAAGACCAGUUUUUCACAGUUAAUCCUCAGCUGCAAAGCUUGAGACACCAGAGCCUGACUGGAGUAGCUCUAAGACCUGAAGCUGCCAACCUAAUGGAGAUGAGCCUUGCCCUGAGCACAGGAGAGCUGUAUUGCUGAGGGCCCUGAAGUGUCACCUCCUCGGCCUCUGAAACCAAGCACUCCAAUUAAUGCUUCUGCCUGUCAGUCCCCUAACAACAAAACCUGGCUACCCAGCUCUUUUUCUUGCUACCUCAAAAAUGUUCUGGAAUGGUAACUCACAAAAUCGUUGAGAUUAACCACAAUGAACAAAUUCACAAUGAAACUGAUAAUUCAGGCCUAAUUAAUAACUAGAAGAUUGGUGCUCACUAAAUAGUUCACCCUGAAGGCAGUGGAGAGCCAUUAUCUUAUCCACUUACCUGUAGCUGCCCCCGCAGGUACCAGUAAGCACGUGUAUGCGCAUACAGGCAUAUCCAUGUGGGUUUGCGUGGAGAGGGAACAGGAAUAAGCACUCGCUUUUUUUCUUCUAAAAGCUGUACCUGUGAGUGAAUGAAGGAAGGAAAUAUUUCACGUGAAUUGCCUGGAGAUGAAAUGGGGCUAAGUUCCAAACACAUGCUCCACGAUUGCUGUCGGGUUCUUUUGUUCCUGAUCAGCUCGGUGUUAAGAACAGGUGGGAAAGGCAGUGCGUUACCAUCAGGCAUGGACAGCUCCCACACUGAUUUCACUGAUUAUCCCAUGACUCCACUUUCUGUACAUUACGUAGAAAUCCAAGGCUGCGGAGGAGUCCCAAACUUUCUCUGUUUUGCUAACUAUGCUUCUGUUACCUGUUGAUGUUGUUACAGAGAGGACAAGGAGGUUUUACACUUAAAUAAGAGUUUCCAAACACGGUUUAAGUAAACCAAAUUGUCUUUCAGGUGCAUCUUGUUCAUUACAGCAGGCUUAUUGUGUUUUCGUCCUUCAGAAACUCCUGUUCAUAGCUGUGUUCCCCUGUAGAAGUAUUACUUCUAAUCAUUCUCGUGUGUCAUUUGCUGACAGUGUAUUUCUUUUUGAGGGCAGACUUCUUUACCUUCAGCUAACAUCAGAAGAGUAGUAACAUAUUUGAAACUCCCAAACGUGUUGUAUUUUAGAAACAUUUCAGAUUUUUCUCUAUUGUGCAAGUGCUUGAGUAAAUGCAAUGUGUCUAUGCUAGGAAGAGUUCGUAUACUCCAAAACACAAUCUGACAUUUACUCUCAUUUAUUUUGAAAUGCAAAUGCAUUUAGUUUAUUCAGAAUUCUGUUGCAGCUUACUGUCUUAUUAGUGAUCAUGCUGAUAACUUGAAUUUCUGAAAUGCUGUUGCUAAGCAAUGCAACUUCAGGCAUGUAAUGAGCCUUUCCAGUGGCUACUUGAAGAUGAAGAAAAUUAUCUCAGCUUCACAGGUUGUUUGAUCAUCAACCGCAUUAUAAUGGUUGGGUGAUAAAUAAGUUUUCAGCUUGCCCUUAUUCUCCUGCAGAUAAUUUAUUUUUGUAUGGUAAAUGAAGAUCAUACAGGAUCAGGAAGAAAGACGUAUAUUUUGGGAUGCAAAGGCAGAAUCAAAGAACUUGUGUAGCUCCUUUGCAUAACUUUCUAUAAAAAGAAGACUUCUUUCAGCUCAUUACUUCAGGAAGGUGUACAGAAGGACUGGGACCCCAAGGACAACCCAGUGAAACCCUGCCCAAUACAAAGAGACACAGCUGCUCUAUCCUUGGUACAGAUCUCCUGCUGGUUGGACCUGACUGAAGACAGGAGCAUGACAGCAGUGGUCAGUGGGUUAGACUGGAUGAUGGGACAAGUCCUCCCACAUGGGCUCUGUUCUCGGGAAGCAAAAGCUGUGCACCACAUUGGGAUGGGAGAAAUUACUCUAUGUGUUCUUCUCAGUCUGUAGCAGCAGCUGGCACCUGGCAGAGCUUUCGGUACUCAUUUCCUAUGGUGAUCAGGAACUACCUGGAGCCUGGUUAUUCUGGGAUCAUCCUUUCAUUGUUUCUGUUCAUCACUGCAAAGUCCAGUCACUGAAACACACUGACAUGAAUUUCAGGUUCCCUUGCAGCUCUUUUUUUCCCCUGCAGACAUAUAUAUUCUGUUAAUGCCCGCGGGUGAAAUAGAUGGGAACAGUGAUGGCCAACACACUUGAGUGUGCUGCUCAAGGGAAAGGAGGUUCAGCUGCCCCUGCAGGCACACACCAUCCAGACAUUGAACUCUCUCAGUGCCUCAGUCCUCCAUCCACCAAAGGAGGCAGCAUCUUCACAGCAGUGGAAGUAAACCAGUAUUUGAAGCAGCCAACAUUGAUGAAGACGGAGGGUACAAGAAAGACCGGAGGAAAAUAUCCACAUCUUUAUUCAGAUCUGGUUUGAAAAGUCUGCAGUAGACAAUGCCUGAGGCUACAAACUGGAGAAAAAAGGAAAUAAAAUAAAAUAUUGACCAUCUGCUCAAUGAGUGCCUUACUUUUUCCUCUGCACUUUGCAGUGUAGGGGACCAAGGAAGAGAGGCUGUGUGAGACUGUGCCAGAACACAUUCAAGCAGCUGUCUCUUCUUUUCAGUCUCUAGUUUUUGCAACCUUAUAUUUCUGAAGCUGUUGAGGGUUUCCUGUGUGUCUGUAGUGCUGCUGUACUGGGACCUUCUUGAGGAUCAGGACUUUGUAUGCCCCUCACUCUGAUAGAGUAAAGAUGGCUCCUACUAUUGAGAACCAUUUCUGCAAAAUCAGAGAACAAAGACUUCUCCUGGGAAAUGAAAGUAUAGCAAAGCAAUUCUUGCCCUGGAGGACUUGUUUUUUCACCUGAGCAGGCUGAUGUUGGUAGUGAGGCAACAGUUUUGGGGGAGCAUCACUCACUCAACCCCAGAUACAUUAUUCCAUGGGUGAAGGAGCAGUAUUUUUCUGUCCUCACCCAAAGUUUUGUCCAUUUAACAACUAGCAACUUGAGGAAUUAGUCCAUGAAAAGCUUGUGGUUUUAGCAAAUUCUAUCUCUUUUCUGGCCAGAAAAAAAAAAGCCCCACUAAAUCCAUACUUACAGUGUAUAGACACGAACCUAAUCGGAACAUCAGAUUAAUUUCCUUACCCGUGGGCAAGCAAGCCCUAAAACACAUGCGGCCCAGCGUUUAUGCAAUAUUCAGUGAGCUGCACUGGUAGCUGCUACAUGUUUGUGCUCCAGGAGAGAUUUCAGCCUGUGUUGCUAACGCACGUUCUCUGACUCUGCUGUCAGCUAACAGCCGCAUCCUUUGCUGAGUCAUGUCUCAGUUCCAGCAAGUUACAUGGUCAGUGCUGGAAGGGGAAAGAAUGUGGGUAAAGGUGGGGUACUGACGGCUCUUUGUUCCUUUGAAGGCAGGAGGAGAAAGUGGACAUUUCUUAAUUCAGAGCUGUUGGAAAUUUGAUGUGUUUUCUCCCUUGGUGCAUGUCUGGCUGGAGCUCUAACACUCUAGGGCUGUGUCUCACAAGCCAGUAGAAGCCUCUGGGAAUGUAAACCAGAGCUGAAAACUCCGCUGCUGGGG